GCCGAGGUAGCUCAGCCCGGUAGAGCAGGGGACUGAAAAUCCCUGUGUCAGCGGUUCGAUUCCGCUCCUCGGCACCA
rnacentral:tRNA from 1 species